ensembl:miRNA
GUAACUGGUCAGGAGUGGGGGGGGGUGUUUGGCCGAGGCUAGAGUCACAUCCUGACAUGGUGCUUGUCCUGGUGUGCUACAGUUCUCGGAGAGAAUCGCUGGUCUUGAUUCAUUGGUAGG